rnacentral:rRNA from 1 species
UACGUAGGGGGCAAGCGUUGUCCGGAAUCACUGGGCGUAAAGCGCACGUCGGCGGAUUGUUAAGUCAGGGGUGAAAUCCUGGAGCUCAACUCCAGAACUGCCUUUGAUACUGGCGAUCUCGAGUCCGGGAGAGGUGAGUGGAACUGCGAGUGUAGAGGUGAAAUUCGUAGAUAUUCGCAAGAACACCAGUGGCGAAGGCGGCUCACUGGCCCGGUACUGACGCUGAGGUGCGAAAGCGUGGGGAGCAAACAGG